GGAAUUGUGGCUCAGAGGAAGAGCACUUGCCUCACAUGCAUGAGGCACUGAGUUCGAUCCUCAGCACCA
rnacentral:tRNA from 1 species